rnacentral:rRNA from 1 species
UACGGGGGGGGCAAGCGUUGUUCGGAAUUACUGGGCGUAAAGGGCUCGUAGGCGGCCAACUAAGUCAGACGUGAAAUCCCUCGGCUUAACCGGGGAACUGCGUCUGAUACUGGAUGGCUUGAAUCCGGGAGAGGGAUGCGGAAUUCCAGGUGUAGCGGUGAAAUGCGUAGAUAUCUGGAGGAACACCGGUGGCGAAGGCGGCAUCCUGGACCGGCAUUGACGCUGAGGAGCGAAAGUGUGGGGAGCGAACAGG